rnacentral:tRNA from 1 species
GCGGGUGUGGUGGAAUUGGUAGACACGUUAGACUUAGGAUCUAAUGCCGCAAGGUGUGGGGGUUCGAGUCCCUUCACCCGCA